rnacentral:rRNA from 1 species
AAUCAUUCGUAAUGGGCGAACGCCUGCCGGUGCGAGGCCGCGUGAACGAUGAAGGUCUUCGGACUGGAAAGUUCUGAUGUUAGGGAAGGAUAAGUGACAUUCAAAUAGGUUGGCCCCUUGACGGUACCUGCCUAGAAAGACCCGGCUAACUACGUCCCAGCAGCCGCGGUAAUACGUAGGGGGCAAGCGUUGUCCGGAAUUAGUGGGCGUAAAGGGCUCGCAGGCGGUUUCUUAAGUCUGAUGUGAAAUAUUGCGGCUCAACCGCAGGAGGGCAUUGGAAACUGGAAGGCUUGAGUAUAGGAGAGGAAAGUGGAAUUCCAGGUGUAGCGGUGAAAUGCGUAGAGAUGUGGAGGAACACCAGUGGCGAAGGCGACUUUCUGGCCUAUAACUGACGCUGAGAAGCGAAAGCGUGGGUAGCAAACA